AAUUAUUUAAUAAUUAAAAGAAUAUUGCUUACAAAAAUUAUAAAAGGUACAAAAGGUGCUAGUGACUAUCAUAUUUCAUGUGCAAAAGCCUUUUGGCAGUUACGAAUCUACCCACACUAACAUGGUGAUACCAUGUUAAUAAUUAUAACAAUAGUAGCAUGAUGAGAGUAUUACGAGCACAAAAUUUAAUUUAUUGAGGAAAUACUGAUAAAGAAUAACAGUGUAGAAGAAAAAUAGAAUGUAAACAAAGCAAAGCAAAUCUUUGCACAAUUUUAAGGGUCAUUGACAUUUGGGAAGAUUACUUUUCUUUAUAGCACAUUAUAUAUUAUAUGUGUAAAAUAUAAACAUGCUGUUAAGCAAUGUUAUUUUUUAAAGUUUGCCUUGUUUCUCUUGUGUUUUCCAUAUUCUUUUUCCAAAAAGCAGUAUCUAAAUCUGAAAUGACUAGAGCAUGCUUCUUAUACUCCUUCUGUAUUUACAUCUUCUUUUGUCUCAAGGUCUUACUCCUCCAGAAGAAAAAGGGAAAACCGAACCUGAAUGUCCCCUAAAAGUGAAGAAAUGUCCACACUUCUAUGUGCAGAUUGUGGGACUCAUGAGGAAUUCUGGAUUGCUGCUAUGUCAUGCACAAUUAGUGGAGAACUAAGGUUUGGAAUAUCGUCUUUCUCAUGCCCUAGAAAAAACUCAAUGAAGAAAGGUAAGUGAAAUAUUUUAUACAUACAUAAUAUAUAAAUGUACAAUAA
ensembl:lincRNA